GGAUGUGUCAGCUGACCGGAGUUCGCCGCGAACCCGUGGCGAACCGUUCGCGGACGGUUCGCGACAUCUCUAGUAAUGAAUUUUACAAACCAGUUAAAGACCAACAAAGUGUGCCAGGAAUAUUAUAUUUCGUAUACCCGUUGCCUUUUCAAUGGGGUAUUUUUGCAGAUGCUUUCAUAUUUUUAUGAAUAUCAUGGAUUUGGGUUUUCUAAGGGAGGUUGGGUGUAAAUUUUAUUUUGUACUUAACCUUUUUUAACCUGUGCCUUUUACAAUAAAUAGAAUGUAAUAUAAUCAUAGGUGUUUACUCACUAAACAUCAAAUUGUAGCGAAUUGAAAAUCAAAUUGCAAAUAUUGGCCAAGUUGGGGGGAAAAAAACUUUAGAUCAACUAUAGUUACAGUUUGAUACUUUUUAAAUAUUGCAAUUCAGUUAUCAAAUCAUUACAAUUCAGUGUUUUGUGAAUAAAUCCCACAGUGUUAUGGAUUCUAACAUAAUAUAAAAUAUAUGAAAUAAUUUUCCUUUGAAAAUGAAUUAAUCGUAUUUGCUGUUGAAGUGGGGAGCUAUAUGUAUCAAAUCUAAUGAACUGAUGUGUAAAGCAAUUUUUCUGACUAAUAAGGUCUACCUUUCAUUGCCAAAACUGUACUACUCACAUUGACCAUAUAUCUGCUUUGCAAAACAGCUAAGGUCCUUCACAAACUGAAUUUAAAAGUCAUAAUGAAAAUUGUAAACAGUACUGAGAUUUCAACUUGAAGUGUGCUGAUACAGGGAAAGAGGGACAUAAUUAACGGCCAUGCUUCUCAGCAGAAAUACAUCAUCCACUUGAGCAUUCCAAACUUCUUCCAAAAACAACUUUCGUGGUUCUAACAAACUAUUUGUUCCUCUUUCUAGCCCAUUGUUCUGGCAUGAAUCACUUUUGUUUGGAAGAGUGCCGUCCGUUGGAACAUUCAAACACGCAGAACUGUCUGAUGUGCAUCUCAGAUUCAUUUGCUCUCAGAAAACAUGAAUUUGUUCCCUCCAAAAUAUUAACCUCUUCCGUCCCAGCUUUAUCAGUCAUCACAUUUUAGUCUACUCCCUAAUAUCAGUUACUGCAAAAGACCUAACUUAAAGAAGUCAUUUUGUUUUCUUAAACCGAUAUGUUUGUUACUGUAUCAAGAGGCCUCGUUCUGAAUUCACAGUUCACACACUAAAUGUUAAUGGGACAUUAUAGUCACCAGAACAAUUACAGCUUUUUGCUGUAAACACUGUUUUUUCAUGGAAAAUGCAGUGUUUACAUUACAGCCUAGUGAUAACUCCACUGCCCACUCCUUUAGGUGGCUGCUAGAGGUGCUUCCUUUCUCAGUGCUGCAUAGUAAGCAGCAUUGCCAUUCAGUGUCUCCACCCUCUGCAUGCAGACACUAAACUUUCCUCACUAAACUUUCCUCAUAGCAUUGAUUCAAUGCAUCUCUAUGAGGAGUUGCUGAUUGGCCAGGGCUUUGCUUGACUUGUUCUGGCUCUGUCCCGGAUUUGCCUCCUUGACAGUCUCAGCCAAUCCUGUGGGGAAGUAUUGCGAUUGGCUCAGACCACCACUCCUGCUGAUGUCAGCAGACUGGGGCAGGUCAGAGGCAGAGCCAAAGCCAGAAGCUACAGUCUUGAAUACAAGUAAGAGUUUACUAUAUUUAAGUUGGAAAGGUGGGGUCCAGAGCGGCUAGAUGGAUGUUUUAACACUAUAGGGUCAGGAAAACAGGUUUGUGUUCCUGACCCUAUAGUGUUCCUUUAAUUACCAAGAUCUAAAGACCAUAUUACAGGUUCUGAUUCAUUUAUACAAGUUAGGGAUAAGCACACACACAAACGCUAUCAUUAUUAGGGAGUUGUUUCUUGAAGCCAUGUUUUCUAUUUUCAGUCCAUACACCUGGAACCAAAGGAGUGUGUAUCAUGGGUUAAUGGAGUAGGAUGAACAGUUCACACAAGGACUAAAUCUGAGUUUGUGGCCAAAUUUUUAAGACUCUGGCAUACACAUUGGACCUGUCUGUUUAACCUUAGAACAUAAUUCUAACACGUGAUAUUAGGUUAUGUCUAACUGGAACAACAUUUCUCGAACAGCGCUGGUUUUUAGGGUAGUGAGGUUUUAUUCUGUCUCAAUAAAUCUGGGAAGCUGUCAUUUUGAAAUAUCCAUCUUAGUUUUUCACACAGAAAGUGGAUAUCAGAGAAUAAAACCCAGCAUGGCAGGUCGGUUGGGGGGGUUCUGGUUAUUAUGAAGGGGCUGGGAAGGACGUGUUGGCAGGAGUCGAGCCCUACGACCACAACUUGUAAAGAAUGUGAAACAGAAUUUUCAUUUGUAGAAAGCCUGGUUUGGCAUAGAUAGAGGAUCUGCUUUGGGUUUUCAUGCAGCAAGCAGACAAGGUCUGGGAACAAUUUUCAUUAUAUUUUGUUGGAUUUACUAUAAGUUCACAUCAGCACACUUUAUCUCCUUACAGUUCAUUAACCUGAUGUUUUCUUUCGUCCAAGGCUUUAUCCGCCUGUUCUGUUACAGGAUUUCUCUGAUCUCCAAUUACUUUUUCCGUUCCUGCCUGAUUAACAGUGGUUUCUAUGAUAGAAGAAGUCGUACGGUUCUCAUGGCCCCUUUAACUACUCUGUGACAGGUUGAUGUGGGAGGUCAAAGCAGACACCUAUGACCUGCCUGUUUGAACUGCACCAUAAAAAUGCUCUUAGUUUGAAUAGCACAGUUACAUAGAUGCAAUUCUAAUCACCACUAAUACAGGAGGGCUGAUUAAAAUGUUCUGUACUUGCAUAAAAAAUACCUGCCCUUAUCUAACAUGACAGACAUGUGGUUUUAGAGAGUGGCUCUCUUAUGCACCUAGGUAUAAUUAACUUCAAUGGCUGAAGAGAGAAGUGGAGAAUUUAUCAAAGUGUUAAUUUACCCACCCUGCCAGUGAGGCGUUUCUGUAUACUGCUAUUUUUUUGUUGGAUUGGAAAAAAGGAGCAUUGAGUAAAAAUUCUGUGACAUACUUAUGGUUGUCAUAGAACAGGGAUCUAUGUUGUGGGCCUUUUCUAAUUAGAAUCAAUCUUUAUUAAAACUAUUUUAGAAUACUUUAUAUAGCUAUCUGACCUUUUUAUAUUAAAUGCAGAACUUUUUAUGAGAUUAGAUAUGAAAGGAUAUUUAAAGCACAGUUGGGACUCAAGAUAAAAUGCUUUAUAAAUUGUUAAAAUCCACACCUUUACAUGUAAUUGACAUUUUAUAUGGUUGAGUCCCUUUCUGGACUCACUGUUAAAAGAGAGAGUCUCAACAACAAAAAACAAUGUGGUUUACGUCUGUAUGUCAGUUUGAAAAAUUGCACAUACAGAAUCCAAACACCAUUACCACUUCAAAACACUGAAGUGGUAACCAUUGUUAAAGUAACCCUUUAACUGCUUUUUACUUUUUUUUUUCUUUCCAAUUUAAAACAGGAAGUCCAUACAAAUAAAGUAACUGCCCCUAGUUUAAAUAAGUAUAAUCCUUAAAUAAUUGCCAUUUUCUGGUCAUUUUUCAAUGGAAAUAACAGGUCUGACUUUCUACACCUUCUCUUAAGUCUGUAACAUAAAAUCUUACCUAUGUAAUGUGAGUGAAGGCGUUAAAAAAAGCACGUAUUAAUCUAUUGAGUUAUUCAGGCACAAUUCUUUUGUGCGGUGCUUGCAUCAAAAGAUCAGAAUGAUUUUGUUUGUGCAGUAAGGAAACAGCAGACCGAUUCAAGAAUUAGGAGAGAGAUUCAAACUGCACUAGGUGGGUACAAUUGAGGAUUACGUGAAGUGACAUAGCAUGAUGUCUAAUUGCGCUUGUGUGAAAAGUAGGCACAGCCUUCUGCUCAGAAGGAGUCGAGCCUUCCAAGAAUAUACAGAAUUGCCUUUGAUUACUCCUCUGGACGCAUUGCUGAGAGAAUGUUUAAACCCAAAUUGCACCAUUAGAGGGCUGUUUACCACCAUAUUGUAAGAAUUGAAUAUGUUGUUUGAAAGCCUUUACAUCUACUAUACCUUUUUAUUUUUUAUAUAUAUGUAAUACACUUUGUUUUUAUAUAAAUAUAUAAAUACUGUAUAAAAAAAAAAUCUUUAGAAAUCAACAGAACAAAG